rnacentral:tRNA from 1 species
GGAUAUAGCUCAGUUGGUAGAGUGCAUACAUCUCAUGCACAAGGCCCUGGGUUCAAUCCCCAGCACCA